rnacentral:rRNA from 1 species
UAGAGYUGGAUCAUGGGCUCAKGACGAACGCGGGCGGCGUGCMUAAUACAUGCAAGUCKAGCGAGCAGAACCAGCAGAUUUUACUUYKGUAAUGACGCUGGGGGACGCGAGCGGCGGAUGGGUGAGUAACACGUGGGGAACCUGCCCCAUAGUCURGGAUACCACUUGGAAACAGGUGCUAAUACCGGAUAAUAAAGCAGAUCGCAUGAUCAGYUUAUAAAAGGCGGCGUAAGCUGUCGCUAUGGGAUGGCCCCGCGGUGCAUUAGCUAGUUGGUAAGGUAACGGCUUACCAAGGCAAUGAUGCAUAGCCGAGUUGAGAGACUGAACGGCCACAUUGGGACUGAGACACGGCCCAAACUCCUACGGGAGGCAGCAGUAGGGAAUCUUCCACAAUGGACGCAAGUCUGAUGGAGCAACGCCGCGUGAGUGAAGAAGGUUUUCGGAUCGUAAAGCUCUGUUGUUGGUGAAGAAGGAUAGAGGUAGUAACUGGCCUUUAUUUGACGGUAAUCAACCAGAAAGUCACGGCUAACUACGUGCCAGCAGCCGCGGUAAUACGUAGGUGGCAAGCGUUGUCCGGAUUUAUUGGGCGUAAAGCGAGCGCAGGCGGAAGAAUAAGUCUGAUGUGAAAGCCCUCGGCUUAACCGAGGAAUUGCAUCGGAAACUGUUUUUCUUGAGUGCAGAAGAGGAGAGUGGAACUYCAUGUGUAGCGGUGGAAUGCGUAGAUAUAUGGAAGAACACCAGUGGCGAAGGCGGCUCUCKGUCUGCAACKACGCKAGGYCCGAACGCCCU